rnacentral:rRNA from 1 species
AUUGAACGCUGGCGGCAUGCUUUACACAUGCAAGUCGAACGGUAACAGGCCGCAAGGUGCUGACGAGUGGCGAACGGGUGAGUAAUGCAUCGGAACGUGCCCAGUCGUGGGGGAUAACUACUCGAAAGAGUAGCUAAUACCGCAUACGAUCUAUGGAUGAAAGCGGGGGACCGUAAGGCCUCGCGCGAUUGGAGCGGCCGAUGUCAGAUUAGGUAGUUGGUGGGGUAAAGGCUCACCAAGCCAACGAUCUGUAGCUGGUCUGAGAGGACGACCAGCCACACUGGGACUGAGACACGGCCCAGACUCCUACGGGAGGCAGCAGUGGGGAAUUUUGGACAAUGGGCGCAAGCCUGAUCCAGCAAUGCCGCGUGCAGGAAGAAGGCCUUCGGGUUGUAAACUGCUUUUGUAAGGAACGAAACGGCUCUGGUUAAUACCCGGGGCUAAUGACGGUACCGGAAGAAUAAGCACCGGCUAACUACGUG